rnacentral:lncRNA from 1 species
UAAACCACGCAAAGCAUAGAUUAGUAUAUGUGCUGCCGAAGAAAGCACAACGCAAAGCAUGGAUUAAUGCCACCACCACCAAAUUAACCCAUUUUCCAAACUCAUUUGGCCCCUGUCAACUGAAGUUUGGAAAUCACGUUAUGAAAGACACUUGACUGUUGAACUGGAAAGUGCAGUUUCAGAGUCUAUUUGAGGUCUAGGGCAAGGAGUAGGAGCCUUGGAGCUGAACCCAGAUGUGGAGUCCAGGGCGGAUCCCCUGGCACCCUGCCUUUCAGAGGCUCCCAGGGAAAUUCAAAAUCUUCUCAGAGAAGGAAGCUUAGUCGAUGUGGCACAUGGCGCAUCACCAGCUGUUGUCUUCUGGCACAUUGGAAGGAAGCUGGAAAGAGGACUCAAGAUGGACACAGCAGAAGAAAGAAAGGACUGAAAGAAGGAAUUGAGGGCAGCAAAGACAAAAAGAGUUUUUAUCAUAAAUGAAUGCAGAAUUCAUCAGAUAAAGAAUUAAGAAGAGCUGUCCCACCACUCCCAGCCCAGAGGAAGGGGCUUCCCAGACACCAUCCCUCCCGCUACUCCCAGCCCAGAGGAAAGGGCUUUUGGGAUGCCUUCUGUCCCGCCACUCUGAGCCCAGAGGAAGGGGCUUCUGGGACACCAUCCCUACCGCCACACCCGGCCCCUAUCCCAGCUCUCCCAGCUCAGAGAAGGUGAGCCAUGCGGACGCCAACAGCACCUCCGGCCCCCGCAAGUCAAAUUGAGAAAACACAUAAAUA